rnacentral:rRNA from 1 species
CCUACGGGAGGCAGCAGUGGGGAAUUUUGGACAAUGGGCGCAAGCCUGAUCCAGCAAUGCCGCGUGCAGGAUGAAGGCCUUCGGGUUGUAAACUGCUUUUGUACGGAACGAAACGGUGAGCUCUAAUACAGUUUGCUAAUGACGGUACCGUAAGAAUAAGCACCGGCUAACUACGUGCCAGCAGCCGCGGUAAUACGUAGGGUGCGAGCGUUAAUCGGAAUUACUGGGCGUAAAGCGUGCGCAGGCGGUGAUGUAAGACAGAUGUGAAAUGCCCGGGCUCAACCUGGGACCUGCAUUUGUGACUGCAUCGCUAGGGUACGGUAGAGGGGGAUGGAAUUCCGCGUGUAGCAGUGAAAUGCGUAGAUAUGCGGAGGAACACCGAUGGCGAAGGCAAUCCCCUGGACCUGUACUGACGCUCAUGCACGAAAGCGUGGGGAGCAAACAGGAUUAGAUACCCUGGUAGUCCACGCCCUAAACGAUGUCAACUGGUUGUUGGGUCUUCACUGACUCAGUAACGAAGNUAACGCGUGAAGUUGACCGCCUUGGGGAGUAGCGCGAGUUAGAGANANAGAGUUAGAGGNGNGAGAGNGCGAGGACGACGACGAGGAGAG